rnacentral:rRNA from 1 species
AGCAGCCGCGGUAAUUCCAGCUCCAAUAGCGUAUAUUAAAGUUGUUGCAGUUAAAAAGCUCGUAGUUGAAUUUCGGGGUUAGUAAGUUGGUCGUGCCACUGGUAUGUACUGGCCUUACUGAUUCCUCCUUCUUGUAGAACCGUAAUGCCAUUAAGUUGGUGUUGCGGGGAAACAGGACUGUUACUUUGAAAAAAUUAGAGUGUUUAAAGCAAGCUAACGUUUGAAUACAUUAGCAUGGAAUAAUGAAAUAGGACGUUCGAUCCUAUUUUGUUGGUUUCUAGGAUUGACGUAAUGAUUAAUAGGGAUAGUUGGGGGCAUUAGUAUUCAAUUGUCAGAGGUGAAAUUCUUGGAUUUAUUGAAGACUAACUACUGCGAAAGCAUUUGCCAAGGAUGUUUUCAUUAAUCAAGAACGAAAGUUAGGGGAUCGAAGACGAUCAGAUACCGUCGUAGUCUUAACCAUAAACUAUGCCGACUAGGGAUCGGAUGAUGUUAAUUUUUAAUGACUCAUUCGGCGCCUUAC